AUUUGUUCUCUUGGUGAUAUAUUCGCUUUUAUUGGGUCAGAAAUGCGCCAUUUGGGUCCCCAUUCACGUGGAAGCCUACCGGGGCGGGUCGGUAACUCCCGUACCACUUCUAGUGGAACUGUACGGACUGCAUAUAGCCCUUCCAGAAGCUCUACCAGUUGAGCAGUCAGUCAUUACACAGACAAGGAAAUCCAGAUCUUCAUGGGCUCACCUUGGAUACAGGUAUAAGGAGAUGAAUAAAAUUUGCCUCCUGCCCAAGAAGAACACGCGUUAUGGGCUGGCAAGCAGAGCAAACUAACACCACAGUGUUUCCAAGGCUACAGUCAGAUAAAUACGUGAGCUGGAGAAAAUUAAAAAU
rnacentral:lncRNA from 1 species